rnacentral:lncRNA from 1 species
UACACGACUACAUCAAACAAACAAAAAUGCCCUUGAAAAGGUGAUCCAGGUUUAACAUGGGCCACAAGAAGGGAAGGUGCUGUUAUCUCAGUCAGUGAGAUAUGGGACGUGGCAGGUAGCAGAAGGCUCCAGGACCAGUCCCCAGCCUGACGCCACCAAGAGCAAACGAGGUCUGCAUGGCAGAACCCCACGCUUCCCAAAUCUCAGAAAGCAAGAGGGGACAUGAGACAAGGCCGAUAGCACAGCCCGAGCACCAGCACAAGAGCCAUGUACAGAGCUCCCUGAGAACCUAGCCUGCCCAUAACACAUUAUUAUCUAUGCCUUUCCAGCCAUACAAUGGAUAGACAACUACAUGACAACUCUACACUGUCUCCAGAGGUUUCUGUGUACACCAGUAGAGAGACAGAGCUCUAACAAGGAGGAUGGCAGUGCAUGGGGUUGUCCUAAUUGAGUGCUAAUGGGUCCCAACCGGGAGGCAGUCUCAGCUGGGUGCCAAUUGCUCUAAUUGAUAAGAAGCCCUGAUUGGGUCCUUGGAGGGUGCUGGUUCCUCACUGAACUUACUAAAGGGAGGCUGGAGAACGAGACAGCUGUUGCCUGAAAAGGAAGAGUUUUAGUUAUGGUUUUUCUGCUGCAAUGCAAGUAGAAGGAUUUUUAAAAGUACACAUGACAGAGCUGGGAAUGGGGACGUAGUGGAUCAAAUGAAGUUGCUUUGAAGAAAUAUUUUCACUGUGGAAGGAAGCUGUGCAUUGCAGGGUAAAAAUGAAAGUUUCUGGAAGAUAAGCUUGGAGCUUUUUCUGCUGUUCUGCAGAAUGCACAGAACUCCUAGCAGAGCCAACAAGUACUUGAAGACUUUUCACUUCUCCUGUUUGUAUGAAGUGUGGCUUUUGGAGACGUGGAACUGGAAGAGUCUCAGAUAGAACCUCCUGCCUGGAGAACUCACGCAUCCUCGACAAAAAUGAACCAGGAGGAGAUGGCUUAUCCCCAGUCUGUGUAUCUUUUUUGGUCAGAGAUCUAUCAUCGCCACAUGCAAUAGGACAAACGUGCAACAGAAGACAAAUGGAAAACUCUUUACUUCCAAUAAGGAGCUGGCUCGUUAAAGGCAGUGAGAGGUUUGCAGCACCAGCCCUAGCAACAGCACUGAAAGUUAUCCCAAACAUGUAAAUGAAGCCGAGCUCCAGCGAUGGGAGGCCAAGCCACUAUGAACCCUCUGCAUCACGCUAUUAAUACAAAGAGGGGCCUCAAUUAAUUAAACUCUUAAAGGGUGACGCAAAAGCAUCAGAAGAAAUUUGCGGUGCACGUAAAGACAAAGUGUGUUCCACCAUACCUAAUUGCCAGAAUAAUUAUUUUCUGCUAUGCAAAUUAUCAUGAGCAAAUUCACUGCAGCUCAUUUGUGUGUAUUUAAUUAUCAUCAAGAGCUGGGGUUGAGGGACUAGAUUUAAUGUUUGUAAUGAAAUAGCAAGAAUUGGUGUGUGUGUUUGCAGAGAACUCGUUAUUUUACCACAGCUGGAUUUGUUUAUUUUAAAUAAAUCGUUAUGGCAGAUACA